rfam:Agrilus planipennis Contig24973, whole genome shotgun sequence.
UAGUAGGAACCCGUAGAUCCGAACUUGUGUUUCUAUGGCCUCACAAGUUCGUAUUUAACGGGACCUACUAC